CAAAGAGAUAGAUAUAUUUCAAUAGGAACAUGCUUCAGGAGAGGCCUCAACCCUGACUGCCACUCCUUACUUGGUACAGGUGAAAUCAAUAAUGGUAAUGAGGAUCUACUGCUUAAAUAGUUGGUGCCAAGCCAGUGCUGGUGGACUACUGCAAGUGAGUCAGGGACAGAGCUCUUUGAUAGGAGGAGGAAUUGGGACUGGAGGAAGAACGCGUCCCACUGCUUAAACUUAAUCAGCACUGAGAAGAUUGUGAAGAUUUUUUUGUCACCAUGACAAGCUGGAGAAGAGGAGCAAGCUGGGCUGCAGCAGGGGAAGGAGAGCUGACGUGACAGGCUCAGCCCAGGCGUCAAACUUCCCGAUGGCUGGAGAGAGAGGAGAUGAGUUUUGCUCUCCCUACUGCCAAGGACGCAGUGGCUGUUUGCUGUAUAUUAGCUAAUGAAGAAAUAUUACACAGCAAAAGAGCGGGACUAAUUUCCAGUGCUUUGGCAACUGGCUAUGCCUCAGAAGCAGUGAAAGAAGAGGUCUGGAAACAGCACGGUCUGCAAGUCAUUGCCCAGAGUGUUUGGCAAACUUGUCAGGCUCUGUUUGGAGUAUAUGGGGAGCAAACUGGAUUACAGCAGCCAGAGGAGGGACAAUGUGCCUGCUGGGAUCUCUCUAUGAGGCUCUCCAGUUCCCUGCAUCACUUGUUUUUGGAGCAAAGCAAAGUCCUGCCCAGGGUCAGCUUUUGUGAGUACAUCUGGCACCACCAGAGAGAGAGAUGGCAGCAGAUGUGA
rnacentral:lncRNA from 1 species